AUUCGAUCAUAGCUCAAGAUUGAACGCUGGCGGGGAUGCUUUACAUGCAAGUCGAACGGCGGCACCUGGACUUCAGUCUGGUGGCGAGUGGCAGACAGGUGACUAGUAUAUCGGAACGUGCUGGCGUGGCGAGGGGAUAACUACGCGAAAAGCGUAGCUAAUACCACGCCGCCCUUCGGGGAAAGCUGGGGGACCUUCGCGGGCCUCGCACUAUUAGAGCGGCCGAUAUCGGAUUAGCUAGUUGGUGGGGUAACGGCUCGCAAGGCGACGAUCCGUAGCUGGUUCAGAGGACAUUGACCACACUGGGACUGAGACACGGCCCAGACUCCUGCAGGAGGCAGCAGUGGGGGAAUUUUGGACAAUGGGGGAGACCCUGAUCCAGCCAUCCCGCGUGUGCGAUGAAACGCUGGUUGCUUAAAGCACUUUUGGCAGGAAAGAAACGGCCUGGGAUAAUACCCCGUGCAACUGACGGUACCUGCAGAAUAGCACCGGCUAACUUACGUGCCAGCAGCCGCGGUAAUACGUAAAGGGUGCAAGCGUUAAUCGGAAUUACUGGGCGUAAAGCGUGCGCAGGCGGUUCGGAAAGAAAAGAUGUGAAAUCCCAGGCUUAACUUUGGAACUGCAUUUUUAACUACCGAGCUAGAGUGUCAGAGGGAGGUGGAAUUCCGCGAUGGCAGUGAAAUGCGUAGAUAUGCUGGGAGGAGACACCGAUGUGAAAGGCAGCCUCCUGGGAUAACACUGACGCUCAUGCACGAAAGCGUGGGGGAGCAAACAGGAUUAGAUACCCUGUUAGUCCGCCUAAACGAUGUCAACUAGCUGUUGGGGCCUUCCGGGCCAUGAUGGCGCAAUAACGCGUGAAGUUGACCGCCUGGGAGUACGGUCGCAAGAUUAAAACUCAAAGGAAUUGACGGGGACCCGCACAAGCGGUGGAUGAUGUGGAUUAAUUCGAUGCAACGCGAAAAACCUUACUACCUUGACAUGUCUGGAAUCCCGAAGAGAUUUGGGGUGCUCGCAAGAGAACCGGAACACAGGUGCUGCAUGGCUGUCGUCGGCUCGUCUCCGUGAGAUGUUGGGUUAAGUCCCGCAACGAGCGCAACCCUUGUCAUUAGUUGCUACGAAAGGGCACUCUAAUGAGACUGCCGGUGACAAACCGGAGGAAGGUGGGGAUGACGUCAAGUCCUCAUGGCCCUUAUCAGGUAGGGCUCCACACGUCAUACAAUGGUCAGGACAGAGGUCGCCAACCCGCGAGGGGGAGCCAAUCCCAGAAACCCGAUCGUAGUCCGGAUCGCAGUCUGCAACUCGACUGCGUGAAGUCAGAAUCGCUAGUAAUCAUGUGGAUCAGCAUGUCGCGGUGAAUACGUUCCCGAGGUCGCCCAUACACCGCCCGUCACACCAUGGGAGUGGGUUUUACCGAAGUAGUUAAUACCUAACCGUAAGGAGGGCGAUUACCACAGGCGGAUUCGCGGUGAAGUCGUAACAAAGGUAA
rnacentral:rRNA from 1 species